rnacentral:misc_RNA from 1 species
AAGUCGUAACAAGGUUUCCGUAGGUGAACCUGCGGAAGGAUCAUUAUUGAAACUUCAUCCGGGGCGCCGCGGCCCUCAGCACCGGUGGAAACGCCGUGUUGCGGGGGCCGCGCGUGCACUCGUCCAAACCAAACCCCUGUGAACCUUACGGGAUGGCCUGGGUUAGCGCCCGGUGCCGUUCCGCUUUAUACAAACACUUAUCAAAGAAUGAACUGAAGGCGGUCUGACCGCUGGAUAGCAAACUGAAACAACUUUCAACAACGGAUCUCUUUGCUCUC